GCUCCUGCAUUCAUCCUUUAUCCUGAGCAGCCCCUGGCCUCUCCCCUCCCAUUUAUUGCUCAGCCGCCCUCAUCACAAUCUCUCCCCAGUCUGCAAGGGAGCUGAUGGCUAUGAAUGAGAGCUAGGAAAGGAAGGAGGGGGCGACAAAGACCCUCUGAUAACCAGAAAGACUCCUGAUUGUGGGUGAAGAGAUCUGAGGUUUGGUCUCUGGUGCCAUCACUCAUGAGGGAACCUUGGGCUCAUCUCUCGUCAGCUUCAGGUUCCCUUUCCAAGAGAGUCAGGAAGAAAGUCCAACAGGAGCUUUGCCAGUUCUGACAUUCUCUCACGUGAAUACACACAGCUUGCGUGGCAGCAUUCUGGUCUCAUGUCUUAGUCACAAAGGUACUCCACUGUAUCAGAAUAUUUUCCUUGGCUGUGACCUCAGGCCAGGCCACAGGUCAGGACAGAAGAUAACACAGCCCAUUUUAUGCCUUAGGACCCACUUCUCCUGAAGUCUACGGUUAGAUCUGCAGAGCCUUACCAACCUUGAGAUGUAAGCUCUCAUCUUUUUGCUCCUCCCACCAUGCCUGCCAUUUGCUGACAUGCUUCCUUACCAUGGUGGACUCUUAUCUCUCUGGAACCAGAAGCCGAAAAAAACUCAUCCUUCUGUGUGUAUAUGUCCAAGGCAUCUAUGGAGACCAGAGAUGUCAGAUCUCCUGAAGCUGGCAUUACAGAAAAUGUUUGCUGAUAUCUGUUGCAAGAAAGUAAGAACUUGAUGCCCCAGGAGUCAAAAGAAUAAUGCUUAGAAGUUAGGUUCAGAAAAGAUCCAAGCAAACCUAUCACACUCUCAGUAUCCUAGGAAGAUCACUCAUCCCCAAAAGGAGGACCAAGACCACCCAGGGGAGAAAGAGUGGCUUCCUCAACAAACAUCACUCACUUAGCAAGUGGAUAUUCACAUGCAGAAAGAUGAAGCUGGGACCUUACUUCAUACGAUUGCAAGAAUGAAUUCAACUGGACCAACAACUUAAAUAUAAGAGUUAAAACCAAAAAUUCCUUGAAUGGAGCAAUAGAAUCUUAUACAUGACAGCGAAAGCCUGAGCAACAAAGGGAGGAAGAGAGGAAUGAGGCAUCACCACGACCACAACCCUUUGCACGUCACAUGCAUGAUAUUAUCAAGAAAGUGAAGAUUGAGCCCUAAGACUGAAUAAAACAAAAACUAUGCAAAUAA
rnacentral:lncRNA from 1 species